ACCUUGACACUUCUUGGAUGCUUCUCCAGUCUGAGACCCAAAGGAAGCAACACCCCUGAAACACAGGUGUGAUGAUCAGAGACACAUCAUGAUUUCUCAAGAAGAGUGAGACUCAAAAGCUGAACCAACAUCUACCCAUUCGCUAUUUCUAAAAGAUCCCAAUUAUCCCAUUAGUGAAGAUAUGAUUGGUGACUAGCCCAAUUGUCAUCAGAGAGAAUUCAUCCUGCAACUGAAAGAAACAGAUACUGAAACCCACAGCUAAACAGGAGGCUGAGCUCAGAGAAUCUUCUGGAAGAGAGAUAGAAGAAGGAUUUAUAGGUGCAAGAUUGAAAGCAACCUUGCACAAUUGGUUGGUCAUGUUGUUUUGGAUGAAGGCUGUACCUAAGAAUAGGAGUAUGUAGCAGAAAAGCCCUGUUCAUCUCAUGGCCAGGAAGUGAGAGGGAAGUAAAGAGGCUGGAAUUCUGCCUAUCCCCUUGGAGGGCACCCACAGAGUGACCUAAAUGCAUGCUUUGUAUUAUG
rnacentral:lncRNA from 1 species